UAGAGCUAGCUUCAUGCUUCGUAGGGGGAGAGAAAAGACAGAGAAUUGGGGUUUCUUUUCUUUGUAGGGUUUUGGGAAGACAGAGGCAGUUGUUGUUGAAAGUCAAUGUUGUACUGGUGAAUCGAGGUAUUUAUGAAGUGGGUGUGAUUACUCUUGACUGUUUUGUGAAAUCAAAGUUAUGUCUGUGAUUGAAGAAUUAAAAGGGUGUCUAUAGGAUUGAGUAUGCGGAGUGAAUGAAAAUUUUUGGGUUAAUCUAACAAGAUAGUCAGUGGAUACAAGGUCAUGAGUAUAAAGCGAUAUCAAAGA
rnacentral:lncRNA from 1 species